AUACGGAUGGUGCGAGCGUUGUUCGGAAUUACUGGGCGUAAAGGGCGCGUAGGCGGCGAUGUAAGUCAAAUGUGAAAGUCCUCGGCUUAACCGGGGAAGUGCAUCUGAAACUGCAUUGCUUGAGUAUGGGAGAGGAAAGUGGAAUUCCCGGUGUAGAGGUGAAAUUCGUAGAUAUCGGGAGGAAUACCGGUGGCGAAGGCGACUUUCUGGACCAAUACUGACGCUGAGGUGCGAAAGCGUGGGGAGCAAACAGGAUUAGAUACCCCGGUAGUCC
rnacentral:rRNA from 1 species